UUAAUAUGGAAAUUUAUUAAUUCAAUUGACCAAGCAAGUUAUAUCAGCUAUUUUUUUACAUUUUUGGUCGGCUUUAAUAAAAAUUUUUGCAAUAACUAUUGCACGCAGAAUAACUAACAAUAGUAACAUAAUGAUUUAUGUGCUUCAAUGGAUCAUGAUAGUAAUAAAUUGUCCUUGGUAGUUUGAUGCAAUCAGCACCACAUUAGAAUUCUCAUUGCUUUCUUCAAGCAAGUCUACCUUCAUAAUUAGCUGUAAGUUGAUGGUAAUGCACCUUUUGCAUAUUGCUACAUCUAAUUGAUGAGGAUCCUCAUGAUUGAAGAAAGAAUGGCUGUUAUAUUAUGGAAGCCAUCUGAUUUCCAUGUUCCAACACUUCCAUCGAACGAAAGUAAAAAACAUAUGCAUGGAGACACAAUGAGAUUGUGUUUUUCCCAACCUCUCUGAAAAGAAACCAUAAUGCUUCACUCCAUGGCUAUUCAUCAUGGCGGAAAAAAGUUGAUCUGGUUAUCUGGACCGGGACUUUCUAAUGCUAAGUUUUGGAAUGAAGAGAUGAGACCUACAGUUUUGGAGCAGCUAAAGAAUGGAAUCUCUCAAAUGAUUGGAUAAUCAUAGCAUGAUUAUGGUACUCCCAUAUCACAACAAGAUGGUAAAUUUUGUUAUUUCGAAGUUUGUAAUUUGUGUUGUCCAACCUCCUCAACUUCUUAUGAACCAGAAAAUAUCUCAGUGGUCACAAUCAAUUGGAUGAGGCACUGCAUCCAAAACUAAUUUUCUGCCUAGCAGGUCCUCCUGCAUUUACUUCUUUUUUUUAAUAAAAAACAAAACCCCUCAACUGCUUAAAUAUUUCUAUAAUGAUAUUGCUAUCAGCAUACUUUUCUGUACCUAAAGGUUAUUAUUCAAUAUUUAAAUAGUCUUAUAUACUACGACAAAUAGUUAAAGAUGAUGGAUGUUAUAUAUGCCUUCUGUGAAGUUCAUGUAGUUUUGAACCUGUUUGAGUGCUUAAUUACUUAUUAUUAUGGUAGCUUUUAGUACUGUAUUUAUGAAGAUGAUGGAUUAUUUUGUAUCUCAGUUCUGUGAAAUACUAUGCGUCAAUCUCUUGUACUCAAAGCUGAAUAAAUGUUACUAAAUUUUGCAUUAUCUAACAUUUCUGAGAUGAAAUGUUUCAGUCUAGAUAUUUCUCCUUGCAAAAGGAAAAAAUAUUUUUUUUUAACAUUUUUAUUGUUAACAAUGUUUCUCUUGCUAUUUGAACAGCUGAUAUAAAGCAAAUAGUCCAUGCAAAAUUUUGUAUCUUAAGCAGUUGAGGUUAAAUAGUGGUUGCCAAUCCUCAAAACAAGGUAGGUCUAGAAAUUUUCAACUUCUCAGUGUCACUAAAAACAUCACCGGUACUUCUAUAUUUUGGUUUCAGAAACUGUUGCCCAUGUUCUCAAGAAUCAAUGUCUGUAGCGGCUUUGUAGGUGCGCUAAUGUUUACACAUCAUGCGUUUGGACUGCAUGAGAACUCUAGCAGGUCAUUGGUUAAAAAACCCAGUCUAAUACAAAUGCCGGAGACUCAUGCCUGUGAAUUAACAUCCUCUUAUUUUUGGCCUAUUUUAAUUAAGAAGUGCUAUCGCUAUUUUAUGGACAUGUUUUAAUUUACCAGGUAUUAGUUCUGCAAAAUACCUCUUUAAAAGACUCAGCAUUUAUACUGGUGCAAGACGUACAAAUAUUUAGACUAGCAGGAGUCAUGUGCAAAUAAAGUUGAUGCUUUUAUUUUAUUAUGAAAAUUUUAAAUUGCCAUCUUGAUACUCUUUUUGAGUAGGCAUUCUUAAAAGGGUUCUAGAUGCAAGCCCUCUUAUUGACUAUACACUGUGUUAAAUGAGUUAUUUUUACCUACCAUAGUUUUUAAGGCUGAAAUCAAAGUAUACAAAUCUCUCCAUUAUCUCUGAAUGAUAUAAAGAAUUACAGGAAAGAGAAUCUGAAUGAUCAGCUUGACCUUACCCUUCCCUUAUGAUUCAAAAUGAUCAUCAGUGUCCUAAGAUGCCAGCUCUAUUGAAAAAACAAAAGGCAAGCCUCUAUUUUGGAUAUCUUGCUUCCCUUCAUGCUUCAGUCAGUGCUUAGUAUUGAGUUUUUCGUCAUAGUCAACAUCCCCUCAAAGUGGGUGGCGUCAGUUGCUACCUUGAUCCCUGCAGUAGGAAGACUGAUUUUCACUAGUCCCUUGGAUCCUAGUUCACAAAUAUGUUGUCAGCUUGAUUCCGUGAGCAAUGUUAGAGCUUGAAGGAAAGUGUGAAGUGCAGAUGCACACUGGUAAUGCAUGUAAUUACAAGAAGUCAGGGAAGGAGCUGUGAAAAAUUUAACUGAGAUACAUGCUUUGAUCCAGUUGUGGACAUUAGGGAGAAGAAGAAAGAAGUGUUGUGUAUAUAGGCAACAACAUUUUUUAAGUUUGUAACUAACAGUGGUUCCUUUCACUCAUUUAACUGUUGAUAGAAGGUGAGACAUUGAGGACCCAACUGACCAUGUCUGCCGUGGAUUUUAUAGUGUGAAUAACCUUCUAUUGAGGAAGGUUACAAGUGUUUCAUACGGUGCUGAUGGUGGUGCGUUGUUACAAGUGCCCUGAGAUGGGUUGUGUAUGAGGCACUAAAAGGGGCAAAGUCGGAUGCCACAGCUGCUGUUCACGAGGACUUAAACAUAGGCAUAGCUAAGAAACAUUUGAUAGUUGCUCUCUGGUUGGUGGUUGUAAGGCCUGAUUGAAUUAAAAAAGAAAAAAAAUCAAGAACUAUCAGUCCAUUACGCUUUAAGGUUGAUUUGAUCUAAAAUCAACUAAAGUGGAUUUAGCCAUUUUCCUGGGGUUUGUCUCCAUGACCAUGCUCUCCUACCUCUCUAUCUUGUUCACCCUGUGCUUUUUCUACCCUUUUCUUUUUCUGUAUCGCUUAUAGUUCAUGAAAAUUUGAUCAGAACUGUUGAGCUGGUGAGCGGUAGAUAUCGAAACUCUUCCAGAUGAGUUAAUAAGCUGACAUUGAUCAGAAGCUUUUCCAAUGAUCAAGUUCUAGGUGAAAUAUUUUUUCAUGAUAGCUGCUCAAAUCUAUGUUGGGUUUGAUUCCAUUGAUGUUGUUGGAGUUGUCCUUGCUAGAUUUUAGAUACCUGAGAACUUGCAUGCAGAAAUGAUUGAGGUUGGAAGUGAUUCCAAGAGAGUUGUGCCAUCUAGUAACUUCUAGUCACUAACUGUCAUAGGUUGAAAUAGAGUUUGCCGAACUGUUCUUAACCAAAUAAUUCGAGAUAUACCAAACCGUACCAACAGCUAAUUGGUGUGGUUUAGACGUUCGAUUUAAAAAGCCAGCGAAAACGAAGUGAGAGAGAAAGAAAGAGAGGAAGAGAGAGAGAGAGAAGGGGAAGGAAAAGGCCGAUGGUGGCCCGCUGAAGCCUUCGUGAAACGAAAGAAGAGAGAGAGAAGGGAGAGAAGGAGGGAGGGGAAGGUGAUGGAGAGGCCGCCGAGUGGCUGCCAGACAAUCUAAAAUAGCCUACAGCUACUAUGGGUUCAAAAUACGGCUUCACUGGAUAUUGGCUUUUUUAAAAAAUACCUCCUGUUUGGAACCCACGGCGGCCACGGACUGUUUUAGGCCAUCCAGAGGUCCUCUUGCUGCCUUCCCCUCCCUCUUUUUCUCUCCCUUCUCCUCUCUCUGCUCUCAAUCUCUACUGACCUUCCUUUCCCUCCCUCCCUUCUCUCUUUAUCUCUCUCUUAUCCUUUCCGCUUUAUCCCUCAUUUCCAUGUUGGUUUAGGCCUGCUACAGUUUGGUAUGGAGGCGUACCUACUUGUACCUUUGGCCGAUUGGCACGGGAUCCGGUUCAGAGUGGGUGAUGGAUUGAAAUACUGCAGAUGUUAUUUCUGGUUAGGUAGACCUCCAAUCAUUUGUAGCAAACAAUAGUUCCUUUAGUAAUUUGCUCAUAAGUGGUGAAUCUCUCAAGGCGAUUUGGAUGUUCAGGGUGCAAUUACUGGUGCAGCAAGGGAAAUGCUGUGUUCAUCCUUUAGUUUGCACAUGUGCAGCAUUUAGCAAUGUGUCUAUAACGCCUUGAUUCCUUCACUGGUAAUUGCUGGGAUUUAGCAAACAAAAUUUGUUUGGAUUAUACCUUAGAAGAGCGAUUGGUGCUUUCCUCGACUUAAAAUGUGGUAAGCUGCCAGUUAAUGUUUGUCUAUAAUGGCUGCUGCUAAUUUUGUACACACUUGUAAUCUUUCUCUUCAAAAGCAGGGUGCCUUUUGCCUCUCUUUCAAACAUUUUUUUUUUAAAAAAAGAAAAAGCUGCUGCUAAUUUUGGGAGGGCCUGACUUUGCUCUAUGAUUCUGCCAUGUCUUAGUUGUUUUCCCCCUUGGUCUUGUACCGGCCACAAACUUGCUAUGGUUGGUUUGCGGUCUUCAGUGUUUCUUUUCUCUCUCCCUCUUGCCAGUAACCAAUCUUCCUUGCAAAUCUUCAUGAAUCCUCCUACCAGUAACCAAUCUAACGUGCAAAACUUCAUGAAUAUUAUAUAUAGUGGAGUGGUUUGACAGACAAGCACUUGCUAACACUUGGUCUUCAUGUCAGGCUCCGCACGAUCUUUUCUUUCAUUUCGAAAAACUAAGCAAGAAACCCUUGUGCAGCCUCAGGCUAGGGUGGGAUGUUGGAACCUGGUUGAAGUGUAUAUAGCAGCUGGGGGCAUGUGGAAGUCUUGGACCGACGUCAAAGAAGCGAUUUGAGGGAACAUUUUAGAGGACCUAGAUAGGAACCAAGAGCAAAUUAAAAUGUCCUCUUUAAGUGUUGCUUUCUUCGAGUGUCAUGCUGGCAAUCUAGAACUUCUGCUAUCUCAGAUGUGCUUCUUUAUCUUAAUCGUUUUUUCUGACUAAAAUAUGCCUAACAAUCUGGUAAGACGGCUGUUAUCUUAAUAUGCCUUCAGUUUCAAUUCUUUUUCAUUAGUAGCAAUUUUGCUUGCAGAAUGCUAUAAAAUUUCAGGCCAGUCCUACAAGAAAGUUCAAAUGCAUUGCAGUACAAUCUACUGAAACAGAAUGACCCACUGAAAUAUAAUUAUACAUAACAUACCCCAGUUUUCUGGAUACUCUGAAUAUUAUUCCAAAAUACUACAAUCUACUGAAACAGAAUUACCCACUGAAAUAUAAUUAUACAUAACAUAGCCCAGUUUUCUGGCUACUCUGAAUAUUAUUCCAAACUACUACAAUCUACUGAAACAGACUUACCCACUGAAAUAUAAUUAUACAUAACAGAGCCCAGUUUCGGGGGCUGAAUAUAAUUCCAAACUCUGAAUUCAUUUCAGAUCAUAGCAUAACCAGUUCUCCUUUAUAGCCAUUCAUUUAAUUCCAGAAUUCCAUCCAUUUCUUCUACACAGAUGGAUUCUCAUAGUUCUGAUGGAGCUUUCUCCUCUGGGACGCAGAAAAUAGCUGGCCUCACUGGUUCCGUAAUCUCCACCGUCCCCUCCAGCAUCUUUGCCACCUUCCCCAUGGAAGGCCUCAU
rnacentral:lncRNA from 1 species